rnacentral:rRNA from 1 species
AUACGGAGGGUGCAAGCGUUAAUCGGAAUUACUGGGCGUAAAGGGCGCGUAGGCGGUCUAUCAAGUCAGGUGUGAAAUCCCACGGCUCAACCGUGGAGGUGCAUCUGAAACUGAUAGACUUGAGUAUGGGAGAGGAAAGUGGAAUUCCCGGUGUAGAGGUGAAAUUCGUAGAUAUCGGGAGGAACACCAGUGGCGAAGGCGACUUUCUGGACCAAUACUGACGCUGGGGCGCGAAAGCGUGGGGAGCAAACAGGAUUAGAAACCCUAGUAGUCC